rnacentral:rRNA from 1 species
AGUGAACGCUGGCGGUAGGCCUAACACAUGCAAGUCGAACGGCAGCACAGUAAGAGCUUGCUCUUACGGGUGGCGGGUGGCGGACGGGUGAGGAAUACAUCGGCAUCUACUUUUUCGUGGGGGAUAACGUAGGGAAACUUACGCUAAUACCGCAUACGACCUACGGGUGAAAGCAGGUGAUCUUCGGACCUUUCGCGCUUGACUGAGCCGAUGUCGGAUUUGUUAGUUGGCGGGGUAAAGGACGACCAAGGCGACGAUCCGUAGCUGGCCUGACAGGAUGAUCAGCACAACUGGAACUGAGACACGGUCCAGACUCCUACGGGGGGCAGCAGAGGGGAACAUCGGACAUAGGGCGAAAGCCUGAUCCAGCCAGACCGGGUAGGUGAAGAAGGCUUUCGGGUUGUAAAGCCCGUUGGUUGGGAAAGAAAAGCAGGAGGUUAAAACGCCGCCGUUCUGACGGUACCCAAAGAAAAAGCAACGGCUAACUUCGUG